UUUGACGAGUCGAGUUGUUUGGGAAUGCAGCUCUAAAUGGGAGGUAAAUUUCUUCUAAAGCUAAAUACUGGCCAGAGACCGAUAGCGCACAAGUAGAGUGAUCGAAAGAUGAAAAGCACUUUGGAAAGAGAGUUAAAAAGCACGUGAAAUUGUUGAAAGGGAAGCGCUUGCAGCCAGACUUGCCUGUAGUUGCUCAUCCGGGUUUCUACCCGGUGCACUCUUCUACGGGCAGGCCAGCAUCAGUUUGGGCGGUUGGAUAAAGGUCUCUGUCAUGUACCUCCUUUCGGGGAGAACUUAUA
rnacentral:rRNA from 1 species